rnacentral:tRNA from 1 species
GGCCCCAUCGUCCAGCGGUUAGGACACCAGGUUCUCAUCCUGGUAACUCCAGUUCGAUUCUGGAUGGGGUCA